rnacentral:rRNA from 1 species
CUACGGGGGGCUGCAGUAGGGAAUAUUGCACAAUGGACGAAAGUCUGAUGCAGCAACGCCGCGUGUGCGAUGAAGGCCUUCGGGUUGUAAAGCACUUUUCUGAGGGAAGAGGAAGGACGGUACCUCAGGAAUAAGUCUCGGCUAACUACGUGCCAGCAGCCGCGGUAACACGUAGGAGGCAAGCGUUAUCCGGAUUUACUGGGCGUAAAGCGCGUGCAGGCGGUUCGGUAAGGUGGAUGUGAAAGCUCCUGGCUCAACUGGGAGAUGCCGUGCAAUACUGCCGGACUCGAGGACGGUAGAGGGAGGUGGAAUUCCCGGUGUAGUGGUGAAAUGCGUAGAUAUCGGGAGGAACACCAGUGGCGAAAGCGGCCUCCUAGGCCGUUCCUGACGCUAAGACGCGAAAGCAUGGGUAGCGAACGGGAUUAGAUACCCCAGUAGUC